rnacentral:rRNA from 1 species
AUUGAACGCUGGCGGCAGGCCUAACACAUGCAAGUCGAGCGGAUGAGUGGAGCUUGCUCCAUGAUUCAGCGGCGGACGGGUGAGUAAUGCCUAGGAAUCUGCCUGGUAGUGGGGGACAACGUUUCGAAAGGAACGCUAAUACCGCAUACGUCCUACGGGAGAAAGUGGGGGAUCUUCGGACCUCACGCUAUCAGAUGAGCCUAGGUCGGAUUAGCUAGUUGGUGAGGUAAAGGCUCACCAAGGCGACGAUCCGUAACUGGUCUGAGAGGAUGAUCAGUCACACUGGGACUGAGACACGGCCCAGACCCCUACGGGAGGCAGCAGUGGGGAAUAUUGGACAAUGGGCGAAAGCCUGAUCCAGCCAUGCCGCGUGAGUGAUGAAGGCCCUAGGGUUGUAAAGCUCUUUCAGUGGGGAAGAUAAUGACGGUACCCACAGAAGAAGCCCCGGCUAACUUCGUGCCAGCAGCCGCGGUAAUUCACUA